rnacentral:rRNA from 1 species
GGGAGGUAGUGGACAAUAAAUAACAAUACGGGGCUCUUUCGGGUCUCGUAAUUGGAAUGAGUACAAUUUAAAUCCCUUAACGAGGAACAAUUGGAGGGCAAGUCUGGUGCCAGCAGCCGCGGUAAUUCCAGCUCCAAUAGCGUAUAUUAAAGUUGUUGCAGUUAAAAAGCUCGUAGUUGAAUUUCGGGAUUGACACAUCGGUCGUGCCUUAAGGGGUAUGAACUGGUGUAGUCAAUUUCUCACCUUCUGGAGAACCGCGAUGUCCUUAAUUGGGUGCCGCGAGGAACCAGGACCUUUACUUUGAAAAAAUUAGAGUGUUUAAAGCAGGCAUUUUGCUUGAAUACAUUAGCAUGGAAUAAUAAAAUAGGACGGCAUGAUUCUAUUUUGUUGGUUUCUAGGAUCACCGUAAUGAUUAAUAGGGAUAGUUGGG